rnacentral:misc_RNA from 1 species
GAUGAAGAACGUAGCGAAAUGCGAUAGGUAAUGUGAAUUGCAGAAUUCAGGGAAUCAUCGAAUCUUUGAACGCAUCUUGCGCUCCUUGGUAUUCCAUGGAGCAUGCCUGUUUGAGUGUCACGUAAACCCUCACCCUUGCGAUGUCAAAGUCGCCUGUGGUGGAUUUGGACUGUGCCGUAAUUGGCUCGUCCUGAAAUGCAUUAGCUUGCGCUUUUUAGAGUGCUCGGCAUGGUGUGAUAAUUAUCUGCGCCGUCGCCUUAGGCCUCUUCUGUGUGCGUAGCUUCCAAUCGUCCCUCGUGGACAACAUAUUUUAAAGCUUUGGCCUCAAAUCAGGUAGGACUACCCGCUGAACUUAAGCAUAUCAAUAAGCGGAGGA